CAUGUAUCAUCGCACCAAGGUGGGGAGGCACUUCUGUUGCUGGGCUGAAAACAUGUCUUGCUUGCUGCUUCCCUCCUGCGUGGCUCACACAGCCCAUAUCUGGCUGUUUAUGAACGAGAUUCCCUCUGUGCCCAGCAUCGUGCUUGAUGCUAGGACACUGCACAGAGAAGUCUGAACAGAGGCUCCUGUCCUCGUGCAGCCAUUUGUAGCCCGAAUAGGCGCCCGCAAGAGGGGCACUGACAGAGGAUGCAGGAGGAGGAAACGUCACUCACCCUCUGGUAAUACACAUGGGCCAGGACUCCCGCCACCAGCUCAACCAGGAAGAUGAUGAGCAACAGGCAGAAAUACUAGGAGCAAGGAGAGAGGACAGUCACCACCGGGAUCAGGAUGCUGCUAUGACAAACGUUUCCCCACAGUGGUGGGGGUGGUAGAGAUACCUGCUGGGAACCCUAUCAUCCAGACCAUCUUCCUCCUGGAUGUACCAGUCUCACUGGCUGCCAGUACCAAGUUCCCCACUUACUCCUUCCCUCCUUGGUCUGCUGACAAUUCAGUAAUGCAUCUACCGAUCCAAUAUGUAUUAAAUACCUGCUAUAUGCCAGAUGCCAGGUAGCGUAA